GUAGGCCCUUUUCGGAGGCCAGACACAAGGUGCUGCAUGGCUGUGUCAGCUCGUGCCGNAGGUGUUGGGUUAAGUCCCGCAACGAGCGCAACCCUUGUCGUUAGUUGCCAUCAGGUAAAGCUGGGAACUCUAACGAGACUGCCGGUGACAAGCCGGAGGAAGGUGGGGAUGACGUCAAGUCCUCAUGGCCCUUACGUCCAGGGCUACACACGUACUACAAUGGCCGGUACAAUAGGUCGCAAUACCGCGAGGUGGAGCCAAUCCUCAAAACCGGUCUCAGUUCAGAUUGGAGUCUGCAACUCGACUCCAUGAAGGAGGAAUCGCUAGUAAUCGCGUAUCAGCAUGACGCGGUGAAUACGUUCCCGGGCCUUGUACACACCGCCCGUCAAGCCAUGGGAGUUGGGAGUACCCGAAAUCGCCGACUUAACCUUCGGGAAAGCGGCGCCUAAGUAAGACCAAGAUGGGUAAA
rnacentral:rRNA from 1 species